AUGUUGUCAGCAAAGCAGAAGCUCCAAUCAAUCAUCUUCAUCAUCAUCAUCAUCAUGUUCUCUGUAGUUCUGCUGCUUCCGGCUGAUGGAUCUGUGAGUGUGAAGUGUGAACAGCUGACACAGCCAGACUCUGUGAGUCUACAGCCAGGUCAGAGACUGACCAUCACCUGUCAGGUCUCUUAUUCUCUGAGCAGCUACUACACAGCUUGGAUCAGACAGCCUGCAGGGAAAGGACUGGAGUGGAUUGGGAUGAAAGUCACUGGAGCUUCUUACUACAAAGAUUCACUGAAGAACAAGUUCAGCAUUGAUGUAGACUCUUCCAACAACAGAGUGACUCUAAAUGGACAGAACAUGCAGCCUGAAGACACUGCUGUGUAUUUCUGUGCCUGA